CCAAAUUUUCAAUAUUAUUAUUGGGCAGCCAAUAUUAGAGCUUUACACUACUGGCUGCAUUCAGACAUACUCAGUCCCCCCCCUACUUGGUUGCAGAUGGAAGCCUUGUCGUGUAAACCCACAUCUUUGAAGGCCUUAAUGUACUCUCCCCUCGGAUUCCCUCUGUCCCCAUAUACUAAAAAUGUAUGCGUUAAAACAUCAUUGAGAAUAUGGAACCAGUUUAGAAAGCAUUUCAACCUAAAAGCUCUUUCCACCCUUUCUCCUCUUACUACAAACCCUGUCUUUCCACCCUCCUUGAUUGACGGAGCCUGGUCGGUAUGGUCUAUGUUGGGUAUCAGGACAAUUAAUGACUUGUAUAUAGAUGGCUUAUUUGCAUCAUUCCAACAACUGUCUGAGAAAUACUCACUGCCCAAACCGCAGUUCUUUAGAUACCUACAGAUACGUAGCCUUGCUAGAUCCUUGUAUCCCAAUUUUCCUAACGCACCACCUUCCAGCCUUACUGACUCCCUCUUUAUGCCCCUCCCAAAUAUUAGAGGAAUGAUAUCUUAUAUUUAUAAUAGUAUGUAUACCUUACGACCAGUAAGUCUCAACUUAAUCAAAACUCAAUGGGAGGAGGACCUGGGGGAUGAGAUCUCAGACGAACUAUGGGAUUCAAUCUUACACCGCGUGCACUCCUCAUCAAUAUGCGCUAAACAUGGCCUGAUUCAGUGCAAGAUUGUCCACCGUAUUCAUUGGACAAGGGUCAAAUUAAGCCAGAUUUUCCCAGAUGUUGACCCCACAUGUGAGCGGUGUCACUCAUCUCCUGCAUCCUUGGCACAUACACUCUGGUCUUGUCCAAGUCUACAUGAAUACUGGUCCAAGGUCUUUGAUAUCCUAUCGGAUGUCUUGGAACUGACAAUUUCUCCCUCUCCUUUUACUGCUUUGUUUGGUGUUCUCCCUCCUACAGUACCCCUCUCUUCAUAUAAGGCUGACUUCGUUGCAUUUAUCACACUUGUGGCAAGACGUCUAAUUUUGCUGAGGUGGAAGUCUUCAAAUGCCCCUUCAUUCAGUUCCCUGAUUAAAGAUAUUCUUUCUUUUAUGAAGAUAGAAAAAAUAAGAAACACCAUCAAGGGCUCUACCCGCAAGUUCUAUAAAACAUGGGGAUGUCUUUCUAAUUACAUAGACAAUUUGAACCUUCCCUCUGUGGCAGACUAGAGCUGGGUACACACUGUUUAAUUAAAUAGACUACAGGCAAACCACUGUAGUUACAUUUCUCUGUAGAAUGCAGGC
rnacentral:lncRNA from 1 species